rnacentral:rRNA from 1 species
AUUGAACGCUGGCGGCACGCCUAACACAUGCAAGUUGAACGGCAGCACGGAUAGGGUAACCUAUUGGGUGGCGAGUGGCGAACGGGUGAGUAAUGCAUCGGAACGUACCUUUCAGUGGGGGAUAACGUAGCGAAAGUUACGCUAAUACCGCAUAUUCUGUGUGCAGGAAAUCAGGGGAUCGCAAGACAUUGCGCUGCUUGAGCGGCCGAUAUCAGAUUAGCUAGUUGGUGAGUUAAAGGCUCACCAAGGCGACGAUCUGUAGCGGGUCUGAGAGGAUGAUCCGACACACUGGAACUGAGACACGGUCCAGACUCCUACGGGAGGCAGCAGUGGGGAAUUUUGGACAAUGGGGGCAACCCUGAUCCAGCCAUGCCGCGUGAGUGAAGAAGGCCUUCGGGUUGUAAAGCUCUUUCGGCCGGGAAGAAAUCGUAUCAGCUAAUACCUUGCGCUAAUGACGGUACCUGCAGAAUAAGCACCGGCUAACUACGUGCCAGCCGCCGCGGUAA